AACUAAUGCCACAACUAUCCUGCUACAAGAUCCUGAGACUAAAGCCAGGUCUGAUGGCAGAGCAGAGAGGUGGAAGUGAGCGGAGUCCUUGAGAUGUUAUUGAGCCACAGUCCCCCUAUCUAAGCUGACACUGCCCAUUAGGAAAUGGGCAGUGUUCUUUGAACGCAGCUGAUACUUAUCAGUCAACAUAUAAGAACCAGAAACAAUCCUCUUGUAAGUAUUGAUUUCAGAUUUCAAAUACAUCUCUAAUGGUACCAGCUUGUAAUUACUUUUGCUGCUUCUUGCACUUGAAUAAAUAAAAAGCAAUACUUUUGAAAAC